rnacentral:tRNA from 1 species
GCUCGAUUAACUCAGCGGUAGAGUGCCACCUCGACACGGUGGAAGUCACUAGUUCAAAUCUAGUAUCGAGCACCA